rnacentral:tRNA from 1 species
AGGGUUAUAGCUCAGUGGUAGAACUUGUGCUUAGCAUGCACGAGGUCCCGGGUUCAAUCCUCAGUACCUCCG